rnacentral:rRNA from 1 species
UACAGAGGUCUCAAGCGUUGUUCGGAUUCAUUGGGCGUAAAGGGUGCGUAGGCGGCGCGGUAAGUCGGGUGUGAAAUCUCGGAGCUUAACUCCGAAACUGCAUUCGAUACUGCCGUGCUUGAGGACUGGAGAGGAGACUGGAAUUUGCGGUGUAGCGGUGAAAUGCGUAGAUAUCGUAAGGAAGACCAGUGGCGAAGGCGGGUCUCUGGACAGUUCCUGACGCUGAGGCACGAAGGCCAGGGGGAGCAAACGGG